rnacentral:rRNA from 1 species
GGGGGCAAGGCCUAACCCAAUGCAAGUCGAGCGGUAAAAAGAAGCUUUCUUCUCUUAAGACGGCGGACGGGUGAGUAAUGCCUAGGAAUCUGCCUGGUAGUGGGGGAUAACGUUCGGAAACGGACGCUAAUACCGCAUACGUCCUACGGGAGAAAGCAGGGGACCUUCGGGCCUUGCGCUAUCAGAUGAGCCUAGGUCGGAUUAGCUAGUUGGUGAGGUAAUGGCUCACCAAGGCGACGAUCGGUAACUGGUGUGAGAGGAUGAUCAGUCACACUGGAACUGAGACGCGGUCCAGACUCCUACGGUAGGCAGCAGUGGGGAAUAUUGGACAAUGGUCCAAAGCCUGAUCCAGCCAUACCGCGUGUGUGAAGAAGGUCUACAAAAUUGUACAGCACUUUACAGCUGGUAGGAGGCGCAGUCCAUGCAAGUCGUGCCGCCAUCAACGGCGGUAAUAGGGUUAG